CAUUAAAGCGGUACGUGAGCUGGGUUUAGAACGUCGUGAGACAGUUCGGUCCCUAUCUGUCGCGGGCGGAGGAGGUUUGAGGGGAGCUACCCCUAGUACGAGAGGACCGGGGUGGACGGACCUCUGGUGUGCGAGCUGUUCCGCCAGGAGCAUCGCUCGGUAGCCAUGUCCGGCAGGGAUAAGCGCUGAAGGCAUCUAAGCGCGAAACCCGCCUCAAGAUGAGACCUCCCAGGGCGUAAGCCCUCUGAAGGCCCCUCGGAGACUACGAGGUUGAUAGGCCGGAGGUGUAAGCGCCGUAAGGCGUUCAGCUUACCGGUACUAAUCGGCCGUGCGGCUUGACCAC
rnacentral:rRNA from 1 species